AAGGAUCAAUAACAAGGGUGACACUAAUCCAAGGCUGGACAGGCAGUUGCUGGACAGAUGCCUUCAAAGGAGUAAUUUUUGUGUAAGGUUGCAAUGGCCUUUGUGCAAGGUUGCAAGUUUUGCAGUUUUUUAUGAUAGUUUUUGUUAUCAGGUAUUUAUGCAUGAGUACUCUCUCUUCAUAGCUUUUCCUGGCUCAAUUUAUCAGGCUUUUUUGUUUUGUUUUGUUUUGCUUUUUAUAAACAUAAGUGACUCCAUUUUGAUUCUGACAACUUUAACAUUGACAACCAUGAAAGAUUUCUGACUGCAGUGACUGUCAUUGACUGUUGGCCUCAGCUGGUAUAUUCUGAAAUCUAUUACUGUGUUUCCACCAAAACCAUGCUUCCCAUGAACUGCUCCUAGCCAAUGAUUGAGCAUGGCAGGGAUCCUAGGAAGGCCCAUUCUUGGAAUAUGUGGGAUUCCCCUGAUGGCUCAAGGACUUCUUAUCUGCCUUGCUGAACUUCCUUAGAACUGCACUGCAAUCCAAGUCUUCUCCACUCAACUUUGCUUCCCUUUCUUUUUCAAAAGGAUUAUACCAGCAUCAUGGUCUCUUGGCUCUUCCAGCCUUCCAUGAGUUCCUGCCUAUCAGGCAUCUGCUUCUCAGAGGACUGAGACACAUUUCUGUUACUCCAAGAACAAUUCUGUUACCAAGGACCAGUGUUGUGGUCCUUGGACCAGCAGCACUGGCCUCAUUAGAAAUGCAGAAUGUCAAGCCCCACCCCAAACCUCUUGAAUCAGAAUCUCAUUUUAACAAGAUGAUUCAUAUAUGCAUUAUAAUUUGAGAAGCACUGAUUUAGAUGAUUUGGAUUUUUCAGCAAAUCCUUUAAAUCUCAGUUUGGAAACUAAGUCCUUGCCAAGGUAAAUAUUUGGAAUCACAAAGUAACAGAUCAUCUGUGUCCUGCAUUUUUGUAAGUCAACGCCCAGCAAAGUUAAGGGACUGGUUCAAGGUCAUAGAUGAGAUUAGAAGACAGCCAGCACUAGAAGCCAGGUCUCUUGCCACCCAGCACGGCUCUGCUGUGAGCAGGCUAUUUGCUGUAAAUAUGUAUUGUUUAGUGUGGUAGCAGUGGAAAUAAGGCUAGUUGUGGUAGAGUACAAAAUAUAUUUGUUCUUUGUUCUGGGUUCCUGGCACACAGUGUCUAAAACCCUAGAAAUUUCUGAAGUGAUAGUUUCUUUUAAAAGUUCCUAACACACCCCACCCUUUAGGAGUAUCUUUUGUUAUUCAUAACUGCCCUUCGCAACACCUGAGUUUAUGCUAACAAGGUGAUUCAGGUGGGGUCCCUAGCUAGGUUAAGGAUGCGUGCUGGUCGUCUGAAAGGCCAGACUAGUGAAUAGAAGGUGGGAACUUUCAGCCACCCCCAACCUCGGGGGAGGGAGGGUAACUGGAGACUGGGUUGUAAAACCUCUUGAAUAAUGAGAUAAGGAGUGCCUCUGGGUUGGUGAACACAUCAGAUGCUGGGCAGGUGGUGUGCUGCCUCCCUCCAUACCGUGCAUCUCUUUCCUGUGGCUGAUCCUGAGGUUUAUCGCUUAGAAAUAAGCUGGUAAAUGCAUGGUAUAAGCAGGGCUAAGUGGAAAAACUGUAUCUUUCAUGUUAAAGAAGUCCAGAAGACUGGUAAGAAUACCCCUGGGGAAAGACUGCUGCUUUCUGCUGGGAUUACCACAUCUGUGAGGCUUGGAAUGAUCAGUAGCCAUCUUUUGUGCCAUGUUGGGACUGACAUAACACAGAGAGAGGGCAAAGCAGAGCCGGGAAACGGAUAGAAGAUACUGUGUGAGAAGCUAGCAUACCCUUGACUGUCCUAGUUUAUGUGAGUAAAUUCCUUUUUGCUUCAGCUAGCAUAAGCUGGAUUUCUGAUGUUUGCCACUGACAAAGUGCUGGCUAACACAUAUUCCCUCAAACGUUCUGGCAGACAGGAGAUAAGAGCCAUCAGGACUCAACUACAAAUAACUACAACCUCUUGGCAUUAUUUUUAGUUGUAAUUUUUUUUUUCUUUUCAAAGAGACAUCUAAAACAUUACAAAAGUUAAAGCAAAUCCAUUUCAAGUUUAUAAAAGACUGUACUGCACAGGCCUAGCUUAUUGAGGGGCCUGUGGUUUAGCCUCAGGUGGUGUGGGGAAGUCUUCAGCACACCGAGCAGGAUUCAGCAUGUCACCUGUUUUCCUCAUUCUUGGACGUAUACUGGCUAUAGAGCGUGGCUGCUCUUCGCUCCACUCCAUUGGAUGGGGAGAUGCUGGAAUUCUGUUCC